rnacentral:rRNA from 1 species
GAUGAACGCUGGCGGCGUGCCUAACACAUGCAAGUCGAACGAACAGACCAGGCGCUUGCGCCUUUGACGUUAGCGGCGGACGGGUGAGUCACACGUGGAUCAUCCACCUAUCAUACUGGGAUCAUCUCGGGAAACCGGCUCAAAUCCCGGAUAAUCUACUGAACCGCAUUGGUCAAUAGAGAAAGUCGGCUUUUCUGUCUCUUCUCGCUGCAUACGGGCUGCAUUAGCUAGUUGGUAGGGUAACGGCCUACCAAGGCGACGAUGCGUAGCCGACCUGAGAGGGUGAUCGGCCACACGGGAACGGAGACACGGUCCAGACGCCUACGGGAGGCAGCAGUAGGGAAUCCUAGGCAAUGGGCGAAAGCCUGACGGAGCGAGGCCGCGUGAGUGAUGAAGGUGUUCGGAGCGUAAAACUGUGUUACUGGGGAAGAACAGAUGUGUAAUUAGCUGUGGAGGUCUUGACGGUACCUGAUCAGAAAGCAACGGCUAACUACGUG